CCUACGGGUGGCAGCAGUGAGGAAUAUUGGUCAAUGGACGAGAGUCUGAACCAGCCAAGUAGCGUGAAUGAUGACUGCCCUAUGGGUUGUAAACUUCUUUUAUAUGGGUAUAAAAUGUUCCACGUGUGGGAUUUUGUAUGUACCAUAUGAAUAAGGAUCGGCUAACUCCGUGCCAGCAGCCGCGGUAAUACGGAGGAUCCGAGCGUUAUCCGGAUUUAUUGGGUUUAAAGGGAGCGUAGGUGGAUUGUUAAGUCAGUUGUGAAAGUUUGCGGCUCAACCGUAAAAUUGCAGUUGAAACUGGCAGUCUUGAGUACAGUAGAGGUGGGCGGAAUUCGUGGUGUAGCGGUGAAAUGCUUAGAUAUCACGAAGAACUCCGAUUGCGAAGGCAGUUCACUGGACUGCAACUGACACUGAGGCUCGAAAGUGUGGGUAUCAAACAGGAUUAGAUACCCCUGUAGUC
rnacentral:rRNA from 1 species